rnacentral:rRNA from 1 species
GCCUAACACAUGCAAGUCGAACGGAUCCUUCGGGAUUAGUGGCAGACGGGUGAGUAACGCGUGGGAAGCUACCUUGUGGUAGGGAACAACAGUUGGAAACGACUGCUAAUACCCUAUGAGCCCUAUGGGGGAAAGAUUUAUCGCCAUGAGAUGUGCCCGCGUUAGAUUAGCUAGUUGGUAAGGUAAUGGCUUACCAAGGCGACGAUCUAUAGCUGGUCUGAGAGGAUGAUCAGCCACACUGGGACUGAGACACGGCCCAGACUCCUACGGGAGGCAGCAGUGGGGAAUAUUGGACAAUGGGGGCAACCCUGAUCCAGCCAUGCCGCGUGAGUGAUGACGGCCUUAGGGUUGUAAAGCUCUUUCAGCAGUGAAGAUAAUGACAUUAACUGCAGAAGAAGCCCCGGCUAACUUCGUGCCAGCAGCCGCGGUAAUACGAAGGGGGCUAGCGUUGUUCGGAAUCACUGGGCGUAAAGCGUACGUAGGCGGACUGAUCAGUCAGGGGUGAAAUCCCGGGGCUCAACCCCGGAACUGCCUUUGAUACUGUCAGUCUUGAGAUCGAGAGAGGUGAGUGGAACUCCGAGUGUAGAGGUGAAAUUCGUAGAUAUUCGGAAGAACACCAGUGGCGAAGGCGGCUCACUGGCUCGAUACUGACGCUGAGGU